rnacentral:ncRNA from 2 species
UCAAUAGGUAGAGGCGCAGGUUUUAUGACAAACCGCAGGCACGAACCGAGCUUGCGGCGGGAAAGGAAAACUUGCCGAAAGUUUGACGGCUCGGGUUCGCGGACGUCAGGCUUGGGACAACGCAUAAUAUGCGUUGUACUGUCACCGUAAGGUGGAGCGCUAUCGGCAUU